rnacentral:rRNA from 1 species
AAGGUAGCAUAAUCAGUUGGCUUAUAAUUGAAGUCUAGUAUGAAUGAAUAUACGGAGGGAUACUGUGUCAUAGUAGUAAAUUGAAAUUAUUUAAUAAGUGAAAAAGCUUAUUUUAAAUAAAAGACGAGAAGACCCUAGAAAUUUUUUUGUUGGGGCAACAUAGUAGCAUAGUAUCUACAAUAUUUAUAUGAAUCGUGUUGGAAGUAAGAUCAAAUUACUCUAGGGAUAACAGCAUAAAGUUUGUGACCUCGAUGUUGGACUAGGAAAUUUUAGUUUAGAAGACGUAAAAUAUGCUCUGUUCGAGCAAAUCUCCU